rnacentral:rRNA from 1 species
GACGAACGCUGGCGGCGUGCUUAACACAUGCAAGUCGAACGGAAAGGCCAUGAUUGCAGGGUACUCGAGUGGCGAACGGGUGAGUAACAAGUGGGUGAUCUGCCCUGCACUUCGGGUUAAGCCUGGUAAACUGGGUCUAAUAAAGGAUAGGAGCUAUUUUUAGUGUGAUGGUUGGAAAGUUUUUUCGGUGUAGGAUGAGCUCGCGGCAUAUCAGCUUGUUGGUGGGGUAAUGGCCUACCAAGGCGGCGACGGGUAGCCGGCCUGUGAGGGUGGACGGCCACACUGGGACUGAGAUACGGCCCAGACACCUACGCGAGGCAGCAGUGCGGAAUAUUGCACAAUGGGCGCAAGCCUGAUGCAGCGACGCCGCGGAGGGGAGGACGGCCUUCGGGUUGUAAACUCCUUUCGCUAGUGACGAAGCUUUUUGUGACGGUACCUAGAGAAGAAGCACCGGCUAACUACGUG